UCGAGGGGCAGCAUGAUUGAAGCUUGCUUCAAUUGAUGGCGACCGGCGCACGGGUGAGUAACACGUAUCCAACC
rnacentral:rRNA from 1 species